GAUGAAGAACGUAGCGAAAUGCGAUAAGUAAUGUGAAUUGCAGAAUUCAGUGAAUCAUCGAAUCUUUGAACGCACAUUGCGCCCGCCAGUAUUCUGGCGGGCAUGCCUGUCUGAGCGUCAUUUCAACCCUCAUGCCCCUAGGGCGUGGUGUUGGGGAUCGGCCAAAGCCCGCGAGGGACGGCCGGCCCCUAAAUCUAGUGGCGGACCGUCGUGGCCUCCUCUGCGAAGUAGUGAUAUUCCGCAUCGGAGAGCGAUGAGCCCCUGCCGUUAAACCCCCAACUUUCCAAGGUUGACCUCAGAUCAGGUAGGAAUACCCGCUGAACUUAAGCAUAUCAAUAAGCGGAGGA
rnacentral:misc_RNA from 1 species